rnacentral:lncRNA from 1 species
AAAGUAACACCCUAGCACGCUUGAAUAUUGUUGAUUUCAUAUAGUUUGAGACAUAGAGGCUGGAGAAAAACUCUAGAACACCUUCAGUUUCCUUAGGAGAUUUGCACCCUUGUGGAAUUUAAAUUGUACCAAAGAGAUUACCUCCUUCAUCUCGGUUAACCAUCCUCAGUGAUCAGUGACCCAUGGGCAGAGGAAAGUGCAGCAGAAAUGAAGAGGCUAAGAAGGAAUAUAAAUAAGCUCGUGUACUUCAUAUAAACCCAUUAUUGAAUAAUCACUUGGCUGGAGCAACAGCUGUGUCAGGGCUCUGCCCAUGUCCUUAUAAUUAAUUUCUCGAUGUUUGUAUCAGCUGGCUUCUGGUGGCUUUUCCAUCCAAUAGCCAGCAUCUGCCUCUAUAUUUUAGAGAACUGCUGUCAGGCUGCCACAACCCUCUUGGUCUUCAGUCUAAGAACUGGAACCAACUUGCCUGUACACUCUUGCCUUACACCAAUGAAUGAAGUGGACAGGGGGAUAAAUAUUCCUCAAAUGAAGAAUGUUAAGAUAUGAUAUACAUUUUUCUCCAAAUUUCCUGUAUCAGAUUGAGCCAGACUUACUCUUGAUGGGACCUUCCUUGACUUCCUUGCUUUUCUCACUCCCUAAUCUCACUUUCCAUCUCCCUGACCAAUUUUAAGUCCCUGGCAGUUCUUCCUAAUGAAUAAACUUUACAUGAAUCAUUGUCUCUGGUCUAUUUCUAGGGAACAAAACUGAAGACAACUUGUGACAGUAGUAUGUGAUAUUGUUAGUUCCUGCUUUUCUUUUAAGCUCUAAAUACUAUAUUUGUAAUGAGUGAGAAAAGACAUUAAGUAUUUUGUGAGUUAUUUAAUAAUUCUGAAAUUCUCAAAAAAAGGUUUGCUGAUUUGUUUUCCUUUCAUUUUAAAAAUAUUCCUCGUUUUCAGCCUAACAUAUUCUUAAUGUCAUAUAUUUUGAAGAGGUUAUUUCAUCUCUCAGUCUGUUUGAUCAAAUAUGUUGAAAUGAGGUAAUAAUAUUUCUGUUGCCAAAUCAUUUUUAGAACUAGCAGAAAUUCCUGGGAGAUUCUUCAAAUUUAACAUGUGUUCAGUAAAUGCAGACUUUUCCUACCACUGUAAUUAAUAUUAUUACUUUUUCAUUAACAUUCUUGUUGAAACUACCUUUGCUCAUAGAGUACAUACAUUAAACACCUCUUCGAAAUGACCUACAACUCACCCUGCCAUAUUAUUUUCUUUAAAUGUAGCUAUUAGUGUCUCUAAACUUAAAUCAUCCCUUUUACCUUUUGGAGCAGAAAUCCACUCAGUCUUAUUUGUCCUUUGUCUUUUGAGUGACUGUCAAGUCCCUUUUGAAAGAUGUAAUUAAUGCAGUUCUGUCCAUAAGCAGAGUCAUUCAGUUGUAAGAACACUUGAUUUAUUGUCAGAAGGCCCAGUUUGAAAAUUUAGUUCUUCCACCUACUUUUCUCAGUAAUGCCUUGAUUUUCUCAUCUGGAAAGGAUGAAAAUACUCUCCCCAUCCUCUAGUUAUUUUAUGUGACUCAAAUCUAUGAAAAAAUGCUUUGAAGACUACAAAUUACAAUUCAGGAGAAGGUGCUAUUAUUAUUGUCUGUGCACACCUACUCUUCUUACAUAUUUUCCACUCACUGUUUUGCCACCUGGUGUGUGAUAAAAGUGAAACACUUAUUUCUUUAGGGAAAAAGAAAAGAGUGUGAGAGGGAGAUGGAGGGAGAGAGAUACUCUGUUUAUAUUAAUUAUUGAAGAAAGGUUUACUCUCACAUCUGCUCAAGGUAUUUCUUAAUCUUUAAAAUUAGAAGUUAAAAGAAUCUAUUUCAUUUAUCUUCAAUUAGCUAACAGAGAAAAGAAAAAUAAAGACUGGUGUGUUCAUCAGAUUUAUAAUAAGGG